GAUUGAAUACCCUAAUACCAGUCUCUCAACUGGGGGUUUUUCUUUAGAUGAAGUUGGUGUGUCGGUGAAUAAUCUGGAGUGGAAGCUGGUGAAACUCAAUUGGUAAAUAAUGACACCUGAAAUUAGAAUGGCAUAUCAAGAAUCUGGAGUGGAAGCUGAUGAAACUCAGUUGGUAAACAGUGACACUUGAAAUUAGAAUGGCAUAUCAGCAUAAAUAAAAGACUUUUUUUUCUUUUUCUUUUUUCUGAUCUAUGUUAUGUUCAAUGAAAGAGUCUUAAAAUAAAAAAUCAAAUUAGAAAACUUAGCAUAGAAUAUAAUUUGGAUGGACUCGGCU
rnacentral:lncRNA from 1 species